rnacentral:rRNA from 1 species
AUUGAACGCUGGCGGCAGGCCUAACACAUGCAAGUCGAACGGUAACAGGAAGAAGCUUGCUUCUUUGCUGACGGGUGGCGGACGGGUGAGUAAUGUCUGGGAAACUGCCUGAUGGAGGGGGAUAACUACUGGAAACGGUAGCUAAUACCGCAUAACGUCGCAGGACCAAAAAGGGGGACCUUCGGGCCUCUUGCCAUCGGAUGUGCCCAGAUGGGAUUAGCUAGUAGGUGGGGUAACGGCUCACCUAGGCGACGAUCCCUAGCUGGUCUGAGAGGAUGACCAGCCACACUGGAACUGAGACACGGUCUAGACUCCUACGGGAGGCAGCAGUGGGGAAUAUUGCACAAUGGGCGCAAGCCUGAUGCAGCCAUGCCGCGUGCAUGAAGAAGGCCUUCGGGUUGUAAAGUACUUUCAGCGGGGAGGAAGGGAGUAAAGUUAAUACCUUGGCUCAUUGACGUUACCCGCAGAAGAAGCACCGGCUAACUCCGUG